CACCCCCGCCUAUUGUUAUAAGAACAAUCAAGUGCCUCUAUAACAAUCCGUUCGCUGCCAGUCGGCUAUCUGGAGCUACUGAUUAUACUUUUGCGCGGAACUUAUGGACUUUAUAUUUCAUCUUGCUACGCCACGAAAAUGGAAACAUCAGCCAGAACUAUAAUUUGUACUGGAUCGUGCUUUAAUAUCACUAUAGGCUCAUACCUAAGUACCAAAUAUAGAUGGUUGGAAAUUGUUGUCAACAAACAUCAGCUGUUUGACACUACCGACAGUGUUGGGUAGAGUCCGGUGGGAGAAAAAACAGUGUGUGCAACGGCUAAAAGAAAACGAGAAAUUUCAGAACUGCUGUCUAAAAGUAUGCAACAGUAAAUGUAUUUAAUUGUUUUAUAGAAUAAGUCGCUGUGAAACUAGAUUAAGUUGCCACGAAAUGUAGCAGUAAACUUGUUUACAAUAAAAUACAAAUUUUUC